rnacentral:rRNA from 1 species
GCCCCUAUCACUGGGAUAACACACUGAAAAGUGUGCUAAUACCAGAUAAUAUAAGCUUUUGGCAUCAUUAGCUUAUCAAAGAAUUUCGGAUAGGGAUGGGCCCGCGUCUGAUUAGCUAGUUGGUGAGGUAACGGCUCACCAAGGCAACGAUCAGUAGCCGACCUGAGAGGGUGAUCGGCCACACUGGAACUGAGACACGGUCCAGACUCCUACGGGAGGCAGCAGUGGGGAAUAUUGCACAAUGGGCGAAAGCCUGAUGCAGCAACGCCGCGUGAGCGAUGAAGGCCUUCGGGUCGUAAAGCUCUGCCCUAUGGGAAGAUAAUGACGGUACCAUAGGAGGAAGCCCCGGCUAACUACGUGCCAGCAGCCGCGGUAAUACGUAGGGGGCAAGCGUUAUCCGGAAUUACUGGGCGUAAAGGGUGCGUAGGCGUUUUAUCAAGUCAGGGGUGAAAGGCUACGGCUCAACCGUAGUGAGCCUCUGAAACUGGUGAACUUGAGUGUAGGAGAGGAAAGUGGAAUUCCCAGUGUAGCGGUGAAAUGCGUAGAUAUUGGGAGGAACACCAGUGGCGAAGGCGACUUUCUGGACUACAACUGACGCUGAGGCACGAAAGCGUGGGGAGCAAACAGGAUUAGAUACCCUGGUAGUCCACGCUGUAACGAUGAGUACUAGUGUCGGCUGUCAAAGGUCGGUGCCGGCGUUAACACAUUAAGUACUCCGCCUGGGUGAGUACGCUCGCAAGAUUGAACUCAAAGGAAUUGACGGGGACCCGCACAAGUAGCGGAGCAUGGUGUUUAAAUUCGAAGCA